UUGAGUAGAUCUCUAUAAAUGCUGUCAUGCUACCUUUGUCUAUUUACUAGUAAGUGUUAGUUUGGAAGUACUGCACAUACUUCUAUUGGCUUUUAAAUUAAGCAUGGUGCUUAGGUUAAACAGCCUUCCUUAAUCUGAUUAGACAUGGAGUCUAGUUCGGUUAUUGAACUAAAAACUACUUGUGUAGACAUUGGUAUAUUUUUGUCAGACUAACCCUUGCAGAAAAACUUUCAAUAUCGAUUUGGGAAGUCCUGAGAUAAACUCACAUCAGAGACGAAGAGAGUGACACAUGAAGUUUAACAAUUUGCACAAGAAGGACAUAGCUCAUUCAUCAUAGAGAGAUGAUCCAUGGAGGGUGCCACAAACACGAUGCACAACCACUAAGAAAGGAAAGCUUCUACAAGGUGAUACUACACCAUCACUCUUCAAGCAAGGUAACAUCUUAAGGUACUUGACUAUCACUUUUAUAAGCUUCUCCUUGGUUCUAGCGUUCAUAUAAAUAAAAGAGACAAACAUGUAUGAUUUAUAACUCUAGAUUAACCAACCCAGCUGAUUCAACAUGUUUAGUCCUUUAACCCUUGUUCUUAAUACUACCUCCAUGAUCCCACACUCCUAAUCAUAUGAGCUAAAAUGUUACACAUUCAAUCUUUGAGAGAUAUAAAGAAAAAGACAUAUACAUAGAUAGAUUAUCUUUCCAUAAGGUUGAGCGAUCUGAUCUGACAAAUGUUAUAAGUGCUACACUCAUGAACUUUUCAUCCAUCCACUUUGUCUUGCUCACUAUGCUUAGGGUUAGAGAAGAACAAAUACACUUUAGGUUCUGUUGGUGUUCUCCACCAACAGGAUCCAUGCACUUGAUCUCUGCCUUGUCUCUAUGAGCAGGUACACUUCGAGCAAAACACGGAGGAGUUUUAUAACUCUCAGACUCUACCAAGUAAAGGACCUGGAUCUACGAGCACAAACACACUGAGCAGGAUACUUCCAACGCCGUACUUCGAACUGCUAGGCAAACAAAGAGGUGCAGACGUCAAGGUCUGCACCUGAAUCAAAUGACGCACCUUAAGAAUGAACACGGUGAGAAGUCUUGUCAAGAAGACUUAAAACAUUGAACCACCGCCGAAAGGCAAGAUCGGUAGUUAUCCAUAUUUAUCCUUUCUGCAUUCCUUUUUCCCUUUAAUUAUUUACUUUCCUUAAAUAGAUUAUUAGUUAAUCAUGCUAUCUUGAAAAGAAAAUAAAAAUGUUAAAGAAUACUAAGCCCCAUGUGAGUAUACGAGUGGCAUAAAACCCAUAAGUACCUUCACUGUGGUGGCAUAAAAAUAAAAUAAAUAUUUCUUUUCUGCUUUAUAAAAUAAAAAAAUAUAAAAAUAGGGAGUAAUAUUUAUUGAGGAAGCUCAACAUGAUGAAGGCUAGAUAUUUAUGCUAACACUUAAUUAGUUUCACAAGCUUUGUUGUCUAUUUGAGCUCCACAGAAUUUAAGAAUCAAGAAGACUAGCAGACGGAGGACAUUCUAAUCGCUGUCAGAAUGCUGCUGACUUUCAAAUACACCUCUGCCACCUGCUAGCUACAUCAAGAGAAAUUACGUCAAAAUUUAGCUUGGGGGAGAGCACCUCCAUUUAUCUCGCUAAGUAUUUCUACAUAUCUUUAUACUUAUAUUAUAUAAGAAUAUUAAAAUACAUAAACUAUGAAAAACCAAAUAAAGAUUUUGUGCUUAUAUAUAUCUUUUGCUUAGUAUGUUUAAUAUGCUAAUCUGAAUCUUAAUAAUAAAACUCUAGCAUGGAUAUGAUGAAUAGUUGCUCUGCCUAAUUUGCAAAUUUGAAGUUCUCUCUCAAGUUUAGACAUAACUAUUAUAAUUUAAAGCUUGCUCUAGAUCUAAACAUGUGGGAUGAAAACUUGAUCUGAAAUCUAAGUUGUUAACGGAUAUGAUAUGGGAAGGUUGAGCUGCUGUUUAUCUGUUCCUAGAGAUGCUAGAAUUCUGGAGAAUUUUAUCUUUGAAAAAUCCUUAAAAUAUUGCAUGAUGAGUUCCUGUAUGAUGAAAGUUUAAAUUCCUACCACAGCCAUAUAUACAUGCUUGCUAGACUUUGAGCCACACAUUUACUAUUUACUGCUUAUGAGCAUUGAGUGUGGUCAAGCUGUGUAGACCCUUAGGAGCUUGUCAUGUGGUUAAAUCAAGAUUUCACUUGCACAUUCACUCAUAUAUGCUACUUCUACUCCGGAAGUACCAUCCACAUAUAUCCACUCAUUUCCAUCUCCAGAACCACCCAAAAAUAUUCUACUCCUAAUCCGGGAGAGAAUAGCCAAAAAUAAUUCUGUUUUCCCUUGUGAAAUAAAUGCUCAAGUUAUCUUGCUACUACCACUUGCUAUAUUAUCUCAAGAGAUGAGUGCUCUGAAAAAAAGAGAGAAAAGAGAAGAAAAGAAAAAAAAUAAAAAAUAAACGAGGAAAUAAAAAGGGGCAAGUGCGUGGAACCUCGAAAGAAAGAAAAAGUAAGACAAGAGGUAAAAAUGGACAAGUGUCCGACAGUAGAAUUAGGGGUACAAGAUACCCACCUGAGAGAAAAGAAAAAGUAAAGAUAGAGCAUCUCAUUCUCCUCAUAAAGUUUCAAAAAGCAAGGAAGGUAUGUAUCCCCUCAAAAGCAAAAGUAGAAUUAGACUUUCACCAUUGUUAUCACCAUCAUCACCAUACACCAUUCAUUCACCACACAUGCACAUCUUGAUUUGGCUUAUUGAUUUGUUUCUUUGGAUCCAUGGUUUGACUAUACAAUAAAUGUCUUGUAAGUAUGUAUACUUUAUCUCCCACCUAUGAGCUCCAGAUAUUAAAGCCUUAUUAGAGUAGGGUGAGAGAGAAGGCAAUGUCACUAUGCCUUAUACCACAAAUACCAUAUAUCUUGAGAGAAGGCAUAUACCAUCACUGCCUUGGUAAGGAUCCAGAAAUACCACAAAAGAGAGAUUUAGAGAGUCAUACAAGGAAUCUCUGAGUUUUAUUUGAAAAUCUGCAAAUACUCCAGAGCUAUAGCUGAUCAAGAAUAAGAGACAUGGCACUUGGCUAAACUGUUCUAUCUUUUAACUACUCAAGACAGAAGUGACGGUUACAAGUCCCAUGGUGAAAGGUAAAGUAAGUAAGUUUUAGUUCUUGACAGUUUACUCUAACUCAGAGAUGAGAUCUUAUUUAAAAGCAUGUGUACCGUCAAAUUUUUAAGAUAUUGCAACAACUUCUGAUCCAUUGCUGAGUCUAUUCUUGCUCAGGGACGAGCAAGAGGUAAGCUUGGGGGAGUUUGUUGACGGUCCUUAAGUAUCAAAUUUAAUUACCAAAUAAACAAAGAAAAGGAUCUAAAUGAAAUCAACAUCUAGACUUAGGGUUUUAUCUGACAGAAUUCCACGAGUUUUUGUGUUUGUCUAUUUCUGCAGGGGGUUAUCAGGAAAUACGGAAGAAAGGCCCACACGUCGGGAUUACAUAGAGAUAUCAACGUGCCGCGCAAUUAUUUUCCAUCUAGAAGACUCCAGAAGCCACGGGAACGAACGGGAAGGCGAACGGGCCCGGGGACAGGGCGCCCGCCCACCCCCCUUGGGCACCCGCCCAGGAGUUGUAGUCAAACACGUCCAACUUUGCGGACCAAGCUCCACCGACCUAAAGGAUCAAGGAUAACGGUUCAAUCAAUGUCGGUUUGAUCCGACGGCCCAGGUUCACUUGAGGGGACUAUAUAACCAGACCCCCUGGCCCCUGGAGGAGACACCCCUUGAUCAUUAUACAUUAUUCAUAGACAGAGCAAAAGCUAGGGUUUAGAGAUGAGAGCUCUCCUCUCUUCUCUAAACUAGAGUAGAUCUAGAUAGUAGCAAGAUGGAGAGCGAAGGAGGAUUAGAGGAGAGGCCGGCCUGUCGGUUCUUCCUACGGUUGUACUUCGUCAUGAUCAAGCUCUAAUCAAGCUUGCUCAUGGGAUGACUCUGGUAAUCUACUUCUAAUUCAUUAUGCAAUUACUAAUUAUCGAUGUUCUGGUUCACAACUCUUUUGAGUAAUCUAAUCUAUAGAACGCUAUAGGUGAGAGUUGUAGUAUAGGUGUAAGCGUGGUGCUUAGACCUAGAUUACUUGUGGAUAUCCCCUGUCUAGCUGGAUCGUGUGGUAGGCCGUGUAGGUGACAGUUACGUUGGUCCUCUGUAGUCCACCUCUCGUUAGCAGGACGGGUAGGGUUUAUCGGCCUAAGGAUAAGCAUCCUUUGUGGUGUACUCUUAUCACGUGGUUCGUCUCAGACAUAGACAUACCCCAUUGAAGUAUAGAAACCAUAGUUAUACUCUCUAUUCUGCUACCAUCGCCCAUAUACUAGAAUUGCUCUACUCUCUAUUCCCAUAUUAUCACUCACUGUUAUCUUACCUUUAGUAUUGUUCUUAUUCGAUUCUACCAUCUUUCCUAUUUACACUUAUUUACUUAUCUUGGUUAAGUUAGAACGUAGAUCAGUUCUCCCGUUUCCCUGUGGAUACGAUAAAACCUUUAAUCGGGUAAAAGCUUCAACGGUAUCCGUGCGCUUGCGGAUUAUCUGUGUGCAUAUAAAUACCAUAGUACACUCUAGUGCCAUGCUAGGGAUGACAACCUAGUAUUCAAGUGUUGUUAGCAAGUGUCAACAUUUAUGUGUUCCUAGAGAUGCUAGAAUUCUGGAGAAUUUUAUCUUUGAAAAUCUUUAAAAUGUUGCAUGAUGAGUUCCUGUAUGAUGAGAGUUUAAAUUCCUACCACAACCAUAUAUACAUGCUUGCUAGACUUUGAGCCACACAUUUACUUUUUACUCCUUAUGAGCAUUGAGUGUGGUCAAGCUGUUUAGACCUUUAGGAGUUUGUCAUGUGGUUAAAUCAAGAUUCACUUGCACGUUCACUCACACAUGCUGCUUCUACUCCGGAAGUUUGCAUCCUCAUAUAUCCACCCAUUUCUAUCUCCAGAACCACCCAAAAAUAUUCUACUCCUAAUCUGGGAGAGAAUAGCCAAAAAUAUUUCUAUUUUUCCCUGUGAAAUAAAUGCUCAAGUUAUCUUGGUUACUACCACUUGCUAUAUUAUUUCGAAAGAUGAGUGCUCUAAUUUGAAAAAGAGAGAAAAAAAGAGAGAUACAAGGAAAUAAAAAGGGGCAAGUGCCCAGAACCUCGAAGAAAAGAAAAAGUGAGAUGAGAGGUAAAAAUGGACAAGUGUCCGACAGUAGAAUUAGGGGUACAAGAUACCCACCUGAGAGAAAAGAAAAAAAAAGAAAAUAUAGAGCAACUCAUUCCUCUCAAAAAGCUUCAAAGUGCAAGAAAGGUAUGUAUCCCCUCAAAAGAGCAUAAGUAGAAUUAGACCUUCACCAUUGUUAUCACCAUCAUCACCAUACACCAUUCAUUCGCCACACAUGCACAUCUUGAUUUGACUUAUUGACUUGUUCUUCUGGAUCCAUGGUUUGACUAUGCAAUAAAUGUCUUGCAAGUAUGUAUUAGCUGUCUCCUACCUAUGAGCUCCAGAUAUCAAAACCUUAUUAGAGUAGGGUGAGAGAGAAGGCAAUGUCACUAUGCCUUAUACCACAAAUACCACAUACUUUGAGAGAAGGCAUAUACCAUUACUGCCUUGGUAAGGAUCCAGAAAUACCACAAAAGAGAGACUAGAGAGAGUCAUACAAGGAAUCUCUUAGUUUUAUUUGAAAAUCUGCAAAAACUCCAAAGCUAUAGUUAAUCGAAGAACAAGAGACAUGACGCUUGACUAGACCGUUCUAUCUUUUAACUGCUCAAGACACAAGUGACGGUUGCAAGCCCCAUGGUGAAAGGUAAUAUGAGUAAGUUUAAAUCCUAACAGUUUACCCUAAUCCAGAGAUGAGAUCUUGUUUGAACGCAUGUGUAUCUUUAAGGUAUGAAACCACUACAGAAACUCUUGAGUCCAUCUUUGCUCAAGGUCGAGCAAAGGUUAAGCUUGGGGGAGCUUGUUGACGGUCCUUAAUUCUUACAUUUAACUGUCAACUAAUCAUAGAAAAGGAUCCAAAUGCAACCAACACCUAGACUUAGGGUUUUAUCUGACAGAAUUCCACGAGUUUUGGUGUUUGUCUAUUUCUGCAGGGGGUUAUCAGGAAAUACGGAAGAAAGGCCCACACGUCGGAUUUACAUAGAGAUAUUAACGUGCCGUGCAAUUUUCUACCAUCUAGAAGACUCCAGAAGCCACGGGAAGGAAGCGGAGGCCGAACGGGGCCAGGGACUGGGCGCCCGCCCAGUUGACCUAGGCGCCCGCCCCCUCCUAGAGUCUAAAGAGGACUCUCUUUCGGGAUCAAUCUCCACCGACCUAAAAGAUCAAGGAUAACCGUUCAAUCAAUGUCGGUUUGAUCCAACGGCCCAUAUUCACUUGAAGAGACUAUAAAACCAGACCCCCUGGCCCC
rnacentral:lncRNA from 1 species